UCUGUUCAAGAAGGUGGUUCCCUACCACUGCCUGGGGGGGAUUUGGUCUCAGCGGGAUAAGAAAGGUAAGGAGCACCUGGCUCCCACCAUCAGAGCCACCGUGGCCCAAUUCAACUCUGUCACCAACUGUGUCAUCACCACCUGCCUGAGCAACCCGGCACUGAAGCCCAACCAGAGAGCCCGUCUGCUGGAGAGGUGGAUAGAAGUUGCCCGGGAGUGUCGAAUACUAAAGAACUUCUCCUCGUUGCGAGCCAUCCUCUCCGCCCUGCAGUGCAACGCAAUCCACCGCCUAAAGAGGACCUGGGAGGAAGUGUCACGGGAAAGUUUCCGAACCUUCCGCGAGCUGUCUGAGAUCUUCUCCGACGACAACAAUUACUCCCUGAGCCGAGAGCUGCUGGUGAAGGUGAGUCACAGCAACAGAUGUAAACAUAACUCUGAGGGGGUGCACAGUGAAAACGGAGGAGGUGUAUUUAGCCGCUGAAGGAAAAACCAUCUUCACAAUAAUACGCAGACAAAUCAGUUUAUGAGUUACAUAACAGUGACACGUGGCAGCUGAGCAGGCGGCGGGAGGAUGCACGGCUGGGUGACCCUUUACCGUCAGUAUCCUUCCUCACAACAGCUGCAGCCAAGCUUCCUGCACAUCAGAGCACCUUGUUCUGUUACUUUUGGACAACAGGAUCCAUAUACGAUGUCCAGGCUCUGUGCAGCUGACAGGUUGCUGUCAUCAUUAGUGCGAUAUAGUGGGUUUAACGCAGAGACGCGUUGACACCGUCAGGGUGUUUUGCAGCUCGUAUUGACGCAUUCAGUGGAAGGUCAGCAGGAGCUGAUUCAUUAAUUCAAGAUAUUUGAGUGAGCAGGAAAUGCGAUGACAGAUCAACAGGCUGCACAUGCUUUCCGCUGCUCGUCUUUACUCUUUGACUUUACUACAGAAGCUUUGCAUGAUUCACAGGUCAAAAUAAGGAUUAUUUUUCUUGCACAGGGGCUUUGCAUUCAUCCUCUGUCUGAAACAAGCUGUUUUAAUUCCUCCGCCUUUUACACCAACUCGCUUUUGAGUGGCUGCUGCUUGUGAACAGAAGGUCUGAAGAGCAGCAGGGAUGUUUGGCUUUUAUCGCAGGAUUUAGUUGCACUUAUGCGGCAGCGCUGUCCUUACAAUCAACACGUUUUUAAGGUGUCACAUUCUGACAUUUGCACGCUCAUAAAGACUCAAUUGUUAGGAAAAAGCUCAUAAUCAUUGUAAAUAAUUGCAGAACUCUUGCCUAAUGCACGAUAUUGACAUUUACUGGAUUGAAAAACAACCAUGUACUACGAUGCAGGACAGUCGGUGUAUGUGGGAGUUCGUGGUGAUGAGGAAUAUGGUGUGAUUUAUUUAUUUAUAUUUCAAUAGGCGUUGAUGAAAAUACAUCUCUAAGGCACAGGGGGAUAUAAAAAUAUACCCGUCUCAACACAUUCACUGAUGUUUUGGUGGAUUUUGAUGACAGUGUUCUUAUAAUUGAACAAACUAGGUCCUCUUGACCCUUGUGUAAGGUGAUCUUUCUUAGUGUUCAGUCUGCUGUGCUUAGUCAGAGUAAAGGUAGAGAGUGAAUUAUCACCUAUUUUUAACCUGAGACGUUUUCUGAUGUAAUGCUGAGUUAGUUAACACCCGCGGCGUCCGCUGAGGGAAUCCCUGCUGACGUCACAGGGAGGAACCCUUUGGCAGGUGUAGAUAACGGCUCCAAUGUGUAAAAGCAGACCUCAGGGCGUCGCCUCCGUCUAUCUGCUCGGGCCAGGCCGCGUUGACUCGACUCGCUUGGCUCAAGUUGCACGAAGCUCCAGAGGCCUCCAGGCAUUACAUCACUCUGAGGAAUGCGCAAGGAACGCCAAGGAGGUGGAUUUCCUCCCAGUUUUUACUUUGAGGUCGUGCAGAUGUUUUAUUUUUUAUGUCAGAACAGGUUUUAAAGAUCUAAUCUGCUGUAACGCAUAAACGAAGUAUAUGAAGGUUAAAAAGCUUUUGGAGAAAAACAUCCUUGAAGGGAGGUUCCUGGUUAAAAAUCGCCCCGCCUGCGUGUCUCUGACCUCCAGGCCAGCUGGAUGCAUUAGACAUGCUUUAAAUCACCAAACGGCACAUGUGUUUUCUGUGAACCGUAACCUCCUCAUGUUUUGAGCCAAUGAAAACAGAUGUGUGACACAUUCUGUGGUUAGAUUCGAUUUGUGUUGGAAAGCCAAAGACAAAAAUGUCUAAAACUUUAUUAGCUGUAUAUAAACUACAGGUAUCUUCAGUCAUAUAAAGAUCAUUAUAUGUUCUGCUACAGCUUCAUGCCAUGGUGUGUGUAUAUUAACAUUUUAUCAUGAAUGUUGAUUGAUAUUUUUGAAGAAGAGAUGAAGAAAUUAAUCAAUCAGAGGUAUUUA